CAUGCCGUAAACGAUGAUUACUAGGUGUGGGGGGUCUGACCCCUUCCGUGCCGGAGUUAACACAAUAAGUAAUCCACCUGGGGAGUACGACCGCAAGGUUGAAACUCAAAGGAAUUGACGGGGGCCCGCACAAGCGGUGGAGCAUGUGGUUUAAUUCGAAGCAACGCGAAGAACCUUACCAGGUCUUGACAUCCCAGUGACCACUCUAGAGAUAGAGUUUUCCCUUCGGGGACAUUGGUGACAGGUGG
rnacentral:rRNA from 1 species